UAUUCAUAAAGAGAAGGCGAGAGACAAGCUCGAUGACCCUUCAGCAACCUACCGACGCGCAAGGUGCUCCAGCUUGAACGAUGAGUA
rnacentral:ncRNA from 2 species